CAGGACGAACGCUGGCGGCGUGCCUAAUACAUGCAAGUCGAACGGUCUUUCUAUGGAAGCUUGCUCCACUGAGAAGAUAGUGGCGAACGGGUGAGUAACACGUGGGUAACCUGCCCAUAAGAGGGGGGAUAACAUCCGGAAACGGGUGCUAAUACCGCAUAGUUUCUUGAUCGCAUGAUCGGGAAAGGAAAGACGGCCUUUGUGCUGUCGCUUAUGGAUGGACCCGCGGCGUAUUAGUUAGUUGGUGAGGUAACGGCUCACCAAGACGAUGAUACGUAGCCGACCUGAGAGGGUGAUCGGCCACAUUGGGACUGAGACACGGCCCAAACUCCUACGGGAGGCAGCAGUAGGGAAUCUUCCGCAAUGGACGAAAGUCUGACGGAGCAACGCCGCGUGAGUGAAGAAAGGUUUUCGGAUCGUAAAACUCUGUUGUCAGAGAAGAACAAGUUGGAGAGUAACUGCUCCAGCCUUGACGGUAUCUGACCAGAAAGCCACGGCUAACUACGUGCCAGCCGCCGC
rnacentral:rRNA from 1 species